rnacentral:rRNA from 1 species
GUUUGAUCAUGGCUCAGAUUGAACGCUGGCGGCAGGCCUAACACAUGCAAGUCGAGCGGAUGACAGGAGCUUGCUCCUGAAUUCAGCGGCGGACGGGUGAGUAAUGCCUAGGAAUCUGCCUGGUAGCGGGGGACAACGUUUCGAAAGGAACGCUAAUACCGCAUACGUCCUACGGGAGAAAGCAGGGGACCUUCGGGCCUUGCGCUAUCAGAUGAGCCUAGGUCGGAUUAGCUAGUUGGUGAGGUAAUGGCUCACCAAGGCGACGAUCCGUAACUGGUCUGAGAGGAUGAUCAGUCACACUGGAACUGAGACACGGUCCAGACUCCUACGGGAGGCAGCAGUGGGGAAUAUUGGACAAUGGGCGAAAGCCUGAUCCAGCCAUGCCGCGUGUGUGAAGAAGGUCUUCCGAUUGUAAAGCACUUUAAGUUGGGAGGAAGGGCAUUAACCUAAUACGUUAGUGUUUUGACGUUACCGACAGAAUAAGCACCGGCUAACUCUGUGCCAGCAGCCGCGGUAAUACAGAGGGUGCAAGCGUUAAUCGGAAUUACUGGGCGUUAAACGCGCGUAGGUGGUUUGUUAAUUGGAUGUGAAAGCCCCCGGGCUCCACCUGGGGAACUGCAUUCAAAACUU